rnacentral:rRNA from 1 species
UGGGGAAUUUUGGACAAUGGGCGAAAGCCUGAUCCAGCAAUGCCGCGUGUGUGAAGAAGGCCUUCGGGUUGUAGAGCACUUUUGUCCGGAAAGAAAUCCUUGGCUCUAAUACAGUCGGGGGAUGACGGUACCGGAAGAAUAAGCACCGGCUAACUACGUGCCAGCAGCCGCGGUAAUACGUAGGGUGCAAGCGUUAAUCGGAAUUACUGGGCGUAAAGCGUGCGCAGGCGGUUUGCUAAGACCGAUGUGAAAUCCCCGGGCUCAACCUGGGAACUGCAUUGGUGACUGGCAGGCUAGAGUAUGGCAGAGGGGGGUAGAAUUCCACGUGUAGCAGUGAAAUGCGUAGAGAUGUGGAGGAAUACCGAUGGCGAAGGCAGCCCCCUGGGCCAAUACUGACGCUCAUGCACGAAAGCGUGGGGAGCAAACAGGAUUAGAUACCCUGGUAGUCCACGCCCUAAACGAUGUCAACUAGUUGUUGGGGAUUCAUUCCCUUAGUAACGUAGCUAACGCGUGAAGUUGACCGCCUGGGGAGUACGGUCGCAAGAUUAAAACUUAAAUGAAUUGACGGGGUCAUAGCUGUUUCCU